GUCUUAAUGAACUCCACUUAACUGAUUCUGUUAGGUUUCAGGUUUGGUUGGCUCAACACUUUACCCAAUUGGUUGGGUCAAAUACAAACCUCCAAUUUCAACUGGACUGUGACCUGAUCAGACAACACUGGACUUCUGAAUUAAAAUAAAACAUGAUCUGAAAGAUGGAUGAGUUUGUAAAACGGAAGCUGACUGAAUGGAAACUUUCUGACCUAAUCCCUGCUUUUGCAGCUGCAAACAUUGAUGAAGAAAGCUUCUUUCUUUUGGAUGCUAAGUGCCUGCCAUCCCUGAUUCCUCACCUUGGUCCUUGUCUGAAAUUUCUACGUCAUUUUGCAAAAUUUCUCGAGGACUCACCUCUCCCAUCAAGCUCAUCUGGCUCACCUGCAUGCUGCUGCGCUGGAGCACAAUCAGGCUCAUGUCUUCCACCUGUUCACCAGCAGUUAUAUUCAGCUCUCAGGCAGGCAGACAGUGGCAGAUUUUUGAAAGCCUUGGUGUGAGUAGAUAUCCAGCAUUUCUUCCUGACCUGACCACGAUCUUGAACACGGUUUUUGUCCCUUGGAUUUUCCUGCCCUGUCUAGCCCACGUCGGAUUCUUCACUGGCUUGUUUUUUUUUCUUCUGCCUUUUGACCUCUGCCUCCUGCCUCGCCUCUGGAUUUGACUGUCUGACAUUGCCUGCAUGUGUUGGACCCUUUUCUGUGCUCUGACCACUGCUCUUCGCCUGCCCCUCAGAUAAGUCGUUCCUUGUCCUGCCACCCUGAUCCUGCCUCAACCCCUUGACCUCCUAGUUCUGUUUCUUCCUGGAUGCGUCACCUGUUGCUAACCACUGUGCUGCCUGGACUCCUCAUCCCCCACAACACUUUAAGAAGGUUAGUGGUUUAUCUUAUUCAGUCUAGACACCCCAAGACUACAACCCACUAACCUGCUUCUCCGUCCUCAGCGGUUCCUGUCCCAUUGCCGGUGGUUGCCUGGCCCCUACCCUGAUCUUCAAUAAAGAUCUUCUUUUUUUUUUCUACUUUGUCUGAUUGAAAUUUUGGGUCCUCAGUUCUAAGCAUUACACCAUUAGCACUUUACAAUGAUGACUGCAAGAUGGAUAAUCCACUUGGAUCAAGAACGGUCCAUAAAUUAGGGUUUAUAUACUAUACCAUGAAGUGCUUGCCACAAGAGUUUCUUUCUAGUUUAAAAUCUCACUUUUUGUUGGCAGUGUACAAAACUGCUGAUGUAAAAACCUAUGAACUAAAUGCUGUAUUAGAGCAAAUUGUGAAAU